rnacentral:rRNA from 1 species
AGGAUGGACCCGCGUCUGAUUAGCUAGUUGGUAAGGUAAUGGCUUACCAAGGCGACGAUCAGUAGCCGACCUGAGAGGGUGAUCGGCCACAUUGGAACUGAGACACGGUCCAAACUCCUACGGGAGGCAGCAGUGGGGAAUAUUGCACAAUGGGCGAAAGCCUGAUGCAGCAACGCCGCGUGAGCGAUGAAGGCCUUCGGGUCGUAAAGCUCUGUCCUCAAGGAAGAUAAUGACGGUACUGAGGAGAAGCCCCGC